AGGGCACUGAUCGAUGGCAGCUUUGUCUCUA
rnacentral:piRNA from 1 species